UUCGUGCUAAGGUAAUGUAAACGCAAAGGGAAUCAGAUUACAAUGUAUUUAGAGGUGGAAUAGGUGAUUGCCCUCUUUGUUUGGUUGCACUCUGGUAACGUAAUCAGAUUACUGUGUGGGUGCUAUAUCUGAUUACGGUGGGGGAGGAGGGGUAACAAGCUUGUAUAGAUAUUAUUUAGGUAAGGGAUUCGAUUACAGUGUCAAUUGAUUGCAAACCACCACAACCAAACAUAUGUAAUGGGAUUCGUUACCUUCAGUAAUCAGAUUACAUUACAUUUGAGCCAACCAAACACUACCUAAAUCCUUUUAAGAAAUCAAAGAGAUAGUGAAAUCCCUAGGGGAAAAAAUGUCAUGGUUCUGUAAUCGCCAGCAACCAAUCACAGUAGAAACAGAUCAGCCAUAUCCAAUGAUAGGAUUGCAGCACGGAUAUUGGCAAACAUGUUGACUGAGAAUCUUUUUAAACUUUUAUAGCAACCUCAGGCCUAGGCCCUAGGCAUUCGGAGGUAU
rnacentral:lncRNA from 1 species